rnacentral:misc_RNA from 1 species
UGGUUCUGGCAUCGAUGAAGAACGCAGCGAAAUGCGAUAAGUAAUGUGAAUUGCAGAAUUCAGUGAAUCAUCGAAUUUUUGAACGCAUAUUGCGCCUUUUGGUAUUCCGAAAGGCAUGCCUGUUCGAGCGUCAUUACAACCUUCAAACUUCGGUUUGAUGUUGGGCAAUCUGCCGCCCUGGCAUGCCUGAAAACUAGUGAUGGUAACCUUUAACCACUGGCGCACACAUGUCGCUGAAGGUGGGUAUCGGGGAUCAUUUUCACCCAGUCAUUUCAAUGUUGACCUCGGAUCAGGUAGGGAUACCCGCUGA